rnacentral:lncRNA from 1 species
UUUCUGGAGCUCUGAGCCUGCCUCUGCACAUUGUCACCUGCCUUAGGGCCACCCUGGCUGGGGAUGAGGAUGGACGUCCCUGGCAUGUGCUCGGCUUCUGACUCCACACUUAGACACAAGCAAAAGGAUUUGUUUUAGACAAUCGUGAACAAACCAAGAUGAAGCUCUUUCCUGCCAAACUAAGACUAGCUGGAAGAGUCUGUCCUAAGGAGGACUCCCCUUCAUCCUCACCAUCAGCAGUGUCUUCCUUCCGGAGCUGCUGCUGCUCCUCCCUAGUCUGGCCUGAAAUUUCAAGGGCUAAUGGUGUGUGUUUCUGCAGUAAUUAGGGACCAUGCAGCAACCCAACACUCCGUUAAACAAAUAUGUAAGUCAUCCUUGUGGGGAAAGACUGAGGAAGAAGGCAGCUGGGACCCCUGCUGGUAGUGUCCUCUGCUGUGUGGGGGGGGGGGGCAUCUCUGUGAUCCUCCUCUUCUGUGUCUGGCCUUAGUGUUGGUCUUCUUCGAUUUUCCUUAAAAAGAAGAAACACGGGCAAAGAACAUGCAUCUCGCCACCCACUGGACAAGCUGAGGAACCUAAGUCUUUGCUUGAAAAGUUGUCACUGGUGGCUCUAAGCUGAGAAGUGCCAGGAUCUGGGUCCCCUACUCUGCACAGCAGUGUCAUGGAUAUAAAGCAUAUGGAGCUGUCUCCCCCCCCCUUUCUUUCACCCUUAUAAAUCAGCCAUAUAAAUCAUUCACAUUGUUUAAGGUACAUUGAUCAAUCUAAU